rnacentral:rRNA from 1 species
GAUGAACGCUGGCGGCGUGCCUAAUACAUGCAAGUCGAGCGAACAGAUGAGGAGCUUGCUCCUCUGACGUUAGCGGCGGACGGGUGAGUAACACGUGGAUAACCUACCUAUAAGACUGGGAUAACUUCGGGAAACCGGAGCUAAUACCGGAUAAUAUAUUGAACCGCAUGGUUCAAUAGUGAAAGACGGUUUUGCUGUCACUUAUAGAUGGAUCCGCGCCGCAUUAGCUAGUUGGUAAGGUAACGGCUUACCAAGGCAACGAUGCGUAGCCGACCUGAGAGGGUGAUCGGCCACACUGGAACUGAGACACGGUCCAGACUCCUACGGGAGGCAGCAGUAGGGAAUCUUCCGCAAAGGGCGAAAGCCUGACGGAGCAACGCCGCGUGAGUGAUGAAGGUCUUCGGAUCGUAAAACUCUGUUAGUAGGGAAGAACAAAUGUGUAAGUAACUAUGCACGUCUUGACGGUACCUAAUCAGAAAGCCACGGCUAACUACGUG